CAUAGGCACGGAGGUCACUGAGG
rnacentral:misc_RNA from 1 species